GACGAACGCUGGCGGCGUGCCUAAUACAUGCAAGUUGAGCGCUGAAGGUUGGUACUUGUACCAACUGGAUGAGCAGCGAACGGGUGAGUAACGCGUGGGGAAUCUGCCUUUGAGCGGGGGACAACAUUUGGAAACGAAUGCUAAUACCGCAUAAAAACUUUAAACACAAGUUUUAAGUUUGAAAGAUGCAAUUGCAUCACUCAAAGAUGAUCCCGCGUUGUAUUAGCUAGUUGGUGAGGUAAAGGCUCACCAAGGCGAUGAUACAUAGCCGACCUGAGAGGGUGAUCGGCCACAUUGGGACUGAGACACGGCCCAAACUCCUACGGGAGGCAGCAGUAGGGAAUCUUCGGCAAUGGACGAAAGUCUGACCGAGCAACGCCGCGGGAGUGAAGAAGGUUUUCGGAUCGUAAAACUCUGUUGGUAGAGAAGAACGUUGGUGAGAGUGGAAAGCUCAUCAAGUGACGGUAAUUACCCAGAAAGGGACGGCUAACUACGUG
rnacentral:rRNA from 1 species